rnacentral:lncRNA from 1 species
UAGAAAAUGGAAGGGCCUUAGAGGUGGAUUUAGUACAAACGUUUCUGCUUGAGAGCAGCUAACAGGCGAUGCGGCACCAUGCUAUGUGGGUGCACAUUAACACUUCUGAAGCUUGGUCUGUCCGGACUGAAACUGAGAGUUUUGGGAAGGCUGUCCCUGACAUUUCCCAGUGUGCCGGAUCCUGACUACAUCCUGGUGCUGUCUGUUGGUGUGAGUUGUACCAGUGGUUUCUAUUUCAUAACUUAGCAACGUGUACUCUCAGCAUCUCAUGUUCUUUAUGAAGAGGAUUUGUUAGGUCCUGAUAUGCCCGUGAAUUCAAACGGAAGACAAAUUCUGUGCAACAGGGCUGUAAUGAAAUGAACGAAGCCUCAGGUUUGUACGUGUGUAUGAUAUUUCUUGUAUUUAACUAAGGUGAUUGAUAACAGUCUGGAUCCUUGAGCUUUCUUGUUGCACUUCGCUCAAGGAAUAGCAAUCCGAAUACUUACC